rnacentral:rRNA from 1 species
UACGUAGGGUGCAAGCGUUGUCCGGAAUUAUUGGGCGUAAAGAGCUCGUAGGCGGUUUGUCGCGUCUGCUGUGAAAACUCGGGCUUAACCCGGCCUGCAGUGGUACGGCAGACUAGAGUGCGGUAGGGAGACUGGAAUUCCUGGUGUAGCGGUGAAAUGCGCAGAUAUCAGGAGGAACACCGAUGGCGAAGGCAGAUUCUCUGGGCCGUAACUGACGCUGAGGAGCGAAAGCUAGGGAGCAAACGGG